rnacentral:rRNA from 1 species
UACGGGGGGAGCAAGCGUUGUUCGGAUUUACUGGGCGUAAAGGGCGCGUAGGCGGCCUCUGCAAGUCGACUGUGAAAUCUCCGGGCUUAACCCGGAAAGGUCAGCCGAUACUGCAGGGCUAGAGUGCAGAAGGGGCAACUGGAAUUCUCGGUGUAGCGGUGAAAUGCGUAGAUAUCGAGAGGAACACCUGCGGCGAAGGCGGGUUGCUGGGCUGACACUGACGCUGACAGCGCGUAAGCUAGGGGAGCGAACGGG